rnacentral:rRNA from 1 species
AUUGAACGCUGGCAGCAUGCUUUACACAUGCAAGUCGAACGGUAACAGGCCGCAAGGUGCUGACGAGUGGCGAACGGGUGAGUAAUGCAUCGGAACGUGCCCAGUCGUGGGGGAUAACUACUCGAAAGAGUAGCUAAUACCGCAUACGAUCUAUGGAUGAAAGCGGGGGACCGUAAGGCCUCGCGCGAUUGGAGCGGCCGAUGUCAGAUUAGGUAGUUGGUGGGGUAAAGGCUCACCAAGCCAACGAUCUGUAGCUGGUCUGAGAGGACGACCAGCCACACUGGGACUGAGACACGGCCCAGACUCCUACGGGAGGCAGCAGUGGGGAAUGUUGGACAAUGGGCGCAAGCCUGAUCCAGCAAUGCCGCGUGCAGGAAGAAGGCCUUCGGGUUGUAAACUGCUUUUGUACGGAACGAAACGGCUCUGGUUAAUACCCGGGGCUAAUGACGGUACCGGAAGAAUAAGCACCGGCUAACUACGUG